UGAGGAAUAUUGGUCAAUGGACGCAAGUCUGAACCAGCCAAGUAGCGUGCAUGAUGACGGCCCUAUGGGUUGUAAACUGCUUUUAUAUGGGGAUAAAGUGGGGAACGUGUUCCCUUUUGCAGGUACCAUAUGAAUAAGGACCGGCUAAUUCCGUGCCAGCAGCCGCGGUAAUACGGAAGGUUCGGGCGUUAUUCGGAUUUAUUGGGUUUAAAGGGAGCGUAGGCCGUUUGGUAAGCGUGUUGUGAAAUGUAGGAGCUCAACUUCUAGAUUGCAGCGCGAACUGUCAGACUUGAGUGCGCACAACGUAGGCGGAAUUCAUGGUGUAGCGGUGAAAUGCUUAGAUAUCAUGAAGAACUCCGAUUGCGAAGGCAGCUUAAGGGAGAGCAACUGACGAUGAAGCUCGAAGGUGCGGGUAUCGAACAGG
rnacentral:rRNA from 1 species